rnacentral:rRNA from 1 species
GACGAACGCUGGCGGCGUGCUUAACACAUGCAAGUCGAACGGAAAGGCCCUGCUUUUGUGGGGUGCUCGAGUGGCGAACGGGUGAGUAACACGUGAGUAACCUGCCCUUGACUUUGGGAUAACUUCAGGAAACUGGGGCUAAUACCGGAUAGGAGCUCCUGCUGCAUGGUGGGGGUUGGAAAGUUUCGGCGGUUGGGGAUGGACUCGCGGCUUAUCAGCUUGUUGGUGGGGUAGUGGCUUACCAAGGCUUUGACGGGUAGCCGGCCUGAGAGGGUGACCGGCCACAUUGGGACUGAGAUACGGCCCAGACUCCUACGGGAGGCAGCAGUGGGGAAUAUUGCACAAUGGGCGGAAGCCUGAUGCAGCAACGCCGCGUGCGGGAUGACGGCCUUCGGGUUGUAAACCGCUUUCGCCUGUGACGAAGCGUGAGUGACGGUAAUGGGUAAAGAAGCACCGGCUAACUACGUGCCAGCAGCCGCGGUGAUACGUAGGGUGCGAGCGUUGUCCGGAUUUAUUGGGCGUAAAGGGCUCGUAGGUGGUUGAUCGCGUCGGAAGUGUAAUCUUGGGGCUUAACCCUGAGCGUGCUUUCGAUACGGGUUGACUUGAGGAAGGUAGGGGAGAAUGGAAUUCCUGGUGGAGCGGUGGAAUGCGCAGAUAUCAGGAGGAACACCAGUGGCGAAGGCGGUUCUCUGGGCCUUUCCUGACGCUGAGGAGCGAAAGCGUGGGGAGCGAACAGGCUUAGAUACCCUGGUAGUCCACGCUGUAAACGGUGGGUACUAGGUGUGGGGUCCAUUCCACGGGUUCCGUGCCGUAGCUAACGCUUUAAGUACCCCGCCUGGGGAGUACGGCCGCAAGGCUAAAACUCAAAGGAAUUGACGGGGCCCCGCACAAGCGGCGGAGCAUGCGGAUUAAUUCGAUGCAACGCGUAGAACCUUACCUGGGUUUGACAUGGAUCGGGAGCGCUCAGAGAUGGGUGUGCCUCUUUUGGGGUCGGUUCACAGGUGGUGCAUGGCUGUCGUCAGCUCGUGUCGUGAGAUGUUGGGUUAAGUCCCGCAACGAGCGCAACCCUUGUUCACUGUUGCCAGCACGUUAUGGUGGGGACUCAGUGGAGACCGCCGGGGUCAACUCGGAGGAAGGUGGGGAUGACGUCAAGUCAUCAUGCCCCUUAUGUCCAGGGCUUCACGCAUGCUACAAUGGCUGGUACAGAGAGUGGCGAGCCUGUGAGGGUGAGCGAAUCUCGGAAAGCCGGUCUCAGUUCGGAUUGGGGUCUGCAACUCGACCUCACGAAGUCGGAGUCGCUAGUAAUCGCAGAUCAGCAACGCUGCGGUGAAUACGUUCCCGGG